rnacentral:rRNA from 1 species
AUGCUAAUUGCUCAGAUUGAGGGGAAGAUCAGUCGGCUGCAUCAAGGUGACGACAUGUUAGUGAUGGCAUAUGUGGCAGAGCUGCAGGCUCUGUGGGCAGAGCAGGAUAACUGCGACCCUCUGGAACUCUAUGAUGCGGCUUGCAUCGAGUCAGGGCGCAAGUGGAUUGCACGCAGGCGUGUGCUGAAACUGUUGGAGGGUCUUAGAGGUUGCUUUCAUGGCAGGAGGGCUUCCCUGUUGCACCAACCUCUUCUGCCCUCUAUUGAGGAGGCUAUUGCUGCAAUGUCUCAAGAGGAGGUGCGGCUAUCUCUUGAGCAUGUAGACAUGAAGGCUGUGCCGGCUUCGACAUUUGCAGUCACUGAGCGCAUGGAGUGGAGCGAUCCCAACAAAUGUCAUAUCUGUGGGGAGAUAGGUCACUGGAAGUGGGCCUGUCCAACUCGUGGCAGAGGCAGGGGAUACAACAGAGGGGGAACUGGCAGAGGCAGGAGUAGAGGCAGAGGUGGAUACUCAGGGACCUCAAGGGGUCAGGCUUCUAUGGGCAGAGGUGGUUACUCAGGACACUCAGGAGAUCAGAGGGCUCACAUGGCAGUGGCAGGAGACACUGGGACGUCAAAAGGCAAAGAUGCAGACGAUGCCAACUAUGGAGACUUUGCUCUCUGGGCCUCCACUGAUGAAGGAGCGACAGACGAGUCAGACGGUUGGGACUGGCACCAGGCGUAG